rnacentral:rRNA from 1 species
CACACCGUAAACGAUGAUUACUAGGUGUUGGAGGAUUGACCCCUUCAGUGCCGCAGUUAACACAAUAAGUAAUCCACCUGGGGAGUACGACCGCAAGGUUGAAACUCAAAGGAAUUGACG